CUUCAUCCAUAAAAAUUCAGACAAUAGUAGAUCCCAAGUCACAGAGUGGUUGUAAGGAUUAAAUAAGUUAAUAUUUAAAGGAUUGAGUUAAUAUUUAAAACAGUGUCUGUCACAUAAUGAGAGAUACGUAAGUGGAAUGUUUAAAAAGUCAUAUAAUCAAAUCUCCACGCCUGGACACUGGUUGUUUCUUAAUUGACAAAGUCUUUGGUGGGCUCUGUGCGUACCCUCCCAUCAUUCCAGCAUGAGAAGGCAGAAGAAAGGCAUCCGGACAACUUUCUCCUGCAGCAAAAGAAGACGUCAGAGAAGGGGAGGAGGAGCAGAGAAGCCGGCAGGUGGCAGGAAGAAGGAAGGAUCAUGGCGAGAGGAAACCAAACAUACCAGGAAAAAAAGUAGAAAAGCCUAAAGCUGCAAGCAAAGAAUGGAAAUUUCCAAAUGCAGCAUCAAGGGCUGCUGUUCUGCUGACUGUCUUGCUCAGCCGGGGUCAUCUGCUUCUCUAAGACAUCAAGGAAUGCCAAGGUAGAGGCACCGCACACACUGUGGAAAUAACAGAACGGAACCUGCAGGCCGAGUACCAGCCCCGAAUGCACUUCCAUGCAGGUGUUCCUGGGCCAAGGCCUGCUGAGAUGCAAGAAGGUACGCUGACCUCUCUGAGCAAUCCACCAACGACAUGACCUACAGAGGGACAAAUCUGGUCAGACACGGUUCUCACAGUCAUUAUCUCUCACCUAUUGUCAUGGCUCAUGUAAUGGGAGCAGCCAGGGGAGGGGAGAGGAGUCUGGUCACCUUGGAGUCAGGAACAGGCAGCUGGCCCCACAGCUGGCCAGGCAGCUAUGCAAGCAGGGAGUCUCUCUGAGAGCAAAAUCCAGAAGCCAAAAUAAAUGGGUCAGGUGGAAAACAGAUGACUAGAACGGCAAGCCAUGCUGAAGGUUGGUCCCAGGGAGUGAAGGUGAGCCAGGACAUAAUGGAUGGAUGCUGGGGGGGCUUUGGAUGCUGCAGGAGUCCAGGGGGCCGUGCAGGAACAGGGACCAAAGAACCAGAAAGGAAGUAAAGCUCAGAGGCCCGAUGCGAUUACGCUGUCCACAUGUCCACAUCUCCACCCUGCAUGCUUCUGAGGCCCUGCUUUAGUUCUCAGGCCUUCAUGAUACGAAGUUUCUGACAUUCACAACAGUCCCCCAAUUUUAACCCCCUCUCCUACCAUCAUGACCCCGAAUUCUGAGGAGACAGCAAAGCUCUGGCCCAGGAGCUGCUAAGGGGGUGCCCACAGGCAUUGGUGGUCACCAACCUAAAAAGGUCAUAGGAAUGGCUCUCCCUGGGGAGGAAACAGGCCUGACCGUAUAUUUAGUCCCUGAGUGAAUAAGAAAACUACCUAGUGACUUGAAGAGUGGAAACUUGAUUUCUAAAUUAUGAUCCUUCCAGGACGUCUAGAUUCUCUAAAGUGCACACUGUGAGGAAACGGAAAGGCUUAACUGUCUUCAGUUUCUGAUUAGAGCACAGAAAAGAGAGAGAACACUAGUAAACAGCACGUAUUAGCCCAAUAUUUUUGGUUGGUGCGCAGAAGGCCAACCGAGUUUUCAGCUGAAGAUUUUUUUGUUGUUGUUUUUCCAUUUCCCUAAAGUCAAUAAUCUUUACCUGCUAGAUAUUGCUUAAAGCAGAAUUUUCAUCUAAUUCUCAUUUGAGGGGACUGAAAAGGAAAAACUAAAUAAUAAUACCUCAUUUGUGUAUAAUGCUUGUCUUUCACAGAAGACACCCUACCCAUUUAGGACUAUCUAAUUUAGAGUAACAACGCUUUUAUAAUGUAAAUACUAGUAAGGGCUAUUAUCAUUUUAUAAAUGAGGCAUGAAAGAAAUCCAGGGAGGUGGGAAUGAAAUGACUGGUUCAAUGUAACUUCCAUUUAAGAGGUGUCAUUGCUGGUUUAUUUUUCACUUUUUAUUAACAACGAAGCCACAUUUUGGAUAAACAUGUUUAUUAAAGGUGUAUCUUGCCCUUACAUUUGAAAAUGAAAAAUCUCUUAGGGAGAAAUAACAAGGACCAACAUAGUCACGUGACUCCUCGGAUCCAGCUGCUCUCAUGAAUCUAGAGCUAACCAAUCAACUCCCGACCAACUCUGCUCAUCCUCGGCAGGGAUCUCAGCUGGCACCACAUGCAUCACAAGCCACUCUGGUGCCAUCCCCUCUCCGUGGGAGUUAUGUCAUAAUGGUCUUGUUGCCUCGAGUCGACCUGGGAAACGCCAUUACCUAUACAAAUUUAGCACAUUCGUAAAGGCACUGAUACUCUUGUUCUUUCAUGAGCUUCAGGUCAGAGAGUUUUUCUGAUCUUUUAAUGUAUUUAUUCACGUUUUCAUUUCCUCACACUCUCAAGCAUUCAUGCAUUCAUUUGACAAACAUCUUGGGCCCAAAAUGUAUUGUUUUAGAUAUUCUAGAUGUUAAGGAUAAAAACAGGGAAAAGACAAAAUCAACGACUUCAAGAAAUGCACAGCCUAGUAAAGAGCCAGAUUAAACACUUGCUGUUCAUUGUGGAAGGUGAGGAGAUAAGAGAUAAGGACAGAAUAGUUUGGGGAGCACAGAGGGGAAAUCUGGCUUGAUCUGUGUGGGGUGCCCACAGGCAUUGGGAGUCACCAACCUAAAAAGGUCAUAGGAAUGGCUCUCCCUGGGGAGGAAACAGGCCUGACCCUUGAUUUAGUUCCUGAGUGAAUAAGAAAAGGGAAGGCCUUGGACAGAGGUGGUCUGAGAGCCAAGCACUCCUGGAAGAGGACCUGUGCACUCCGGGUGUGGGGGACAGCAUGUGCAAUGACAUGAAUAAGAUCACACUGUGCCUCUGGAGACCUGCAGGAAGGUCGUAUGAUGGAGGGUGCUUUAGGUAUUCGAUGACGGGUCCUGUUUGCCAUCUCAGGCCUGGAGAUCCUCGUGAAUGACUCUAUAAAGGGAAAUGUCUUGUCUGCCGUCGUGUAAGUAAAAACACUUUCUAUGUGGAUCUGUACUCACUAUUUAAGGAAUAUCGCAGAGGGAAAAGCACACAGUCAAGGUUUCUCUGGUCUCCCCAAGUUUUGUAUUAUCCAUAUUUCUUUACUAUUAUCCUCCAGGGACUAAUAGAAACAGCGGACUUUUUCAUCAAAUCUAGGUGGUCUCUUAGCUCAUUUCCAUUAUAUUUUACUAUAAAAAUUUUGUAUGUAGAAAUACUUCAAAAUACAAGUGGGUAUGGUGGUUCACAUGUAUAAUCCCAGUGAUUUUUUUUGGGGGGGGGGGGUGCUACGGGUUGAACCCAGGACCUGGGCAUGCUAAGCAAGAACUCUACCAACUGAGAUAUAUCCCCAGCCAUCCCAGUGAUUUGGGAACUGGGGUAAGAGGAUUGUAAAUUCCAGACCAGCCUGGGCAAUUUAUGAGACCCUGUCUUAAAAUAACACUCAGUGGUAAAGUGCCCCUGGGUUUAAACCCUAAUACAUAAACAAACAAACACCCCAUAGCAUUUUCAAUUGCAUGGUUGGAUGGGGCAGGUUUUUCCUCUUAACCUUUUUCAGACUGUUCAGGUUGGAGCUGCCCAGCCUCCAAAAGGACAGAACCAGCCUUAUAAGUUUUUUAGUGGCAACACCAGGAGGAGGUACUUGGAAAUGGCCUCUGAAAAUUCUACACCAAGUCCCUGUAGUGACAGCUCUUUCCUGGGACUCCAUCUUCCCCUCAGAAAAGGCUGGCAUGGAGGCCUGUAUGAACUGAGGCCAGAAAGAGGGAGAGAGAAGAAAUACAAACACAGCAGAAUUCACACAGAACUGUCCUUAGACUAAUCUACUGCCUCAGUGAUCAUACUCUGCAUUCUCUUGUCACUUGUGAAGAACUUUGACACUGAAAUCACACCCUCAUUUAUACUUGGGAAUUUUUCAGCUACUUUAAGAGUUCAAAAUAAUUCAUUGAUAUUAGUUCCGAAUUCAUGGGAUCCUCUCUGACAUAUAUCAUUUCUUCAUUUAUCCAGGCUUCACCCAUUCAAGAAGCAUCUACUGCCUCAUCUCUAUCUCUUAAAGCCAACCCAAUCAGCCUUCUGCUCCUGUUACUCCAUUAAACACACAGCUGAGAAGUCUCACUGACUUCCAUGAUGUUGAUUCCAGUGGUUUGUUUUCAGACCACAUCUCACCCCCUCUGUAGCCUCUUAGCACAGAUGAUUGGUCCCUUCUUAUUGACACUUGCUGUCUUCCUUCCUCCUUGUUCUUAGUCUCUUGCUGGGCUCUUUCUGAUCUCUGAAUGUUGGAAGUCACCUUGGGCUUGCACCUCUGUCAUUGCCCAUUCAGUCCAUUGCUUUAAAUACCACACCAUGGAGGUUGGGGAUAUGGCUAAGGGUAGAUCUUGCAAAGGGUGCAUGAGACCUUGGGUUUCCUUCCUAGCACCACAAAAAUAAUAGACAAAUACCAUCUCUGUCACCCUGGCCUGUCUUCUGAAGAGGGCUUCUUUCCCCAGGGGUGCUCAAGUUUGGGCUGGGCCCUGAAGGAGGAGAGAUGAGUUGGCCAAGAGGAGAAAAUAUAUUCCCCCCCACCAAGGGGAAGAAGAUGAGGAAAGAGGGCUGGGUUGUGGCUCAGUGGUAAAGCACUUGCCUUGUAUGUGUGAGGCACUGGGUUCAAUCCUCAGUGCCACAUAAAAAUAAAUAAAUAAAGGUAUUAUGUCCAUCUACAACUAAAAAAAUUUUUUUAAAAAAGGCUCAGUUGGUAGAGUGCUUGCCACACCGGUGCAAGGCCCUGGGCUCAGUCCCCAGCACUGCAAAAUAAGUAAGUAAAUAAAUAAAUGGGCUCAAAGGUGUGAAAAGAGAAAAUGUUCAGAGAAUAGGAAGCGGUCUGGUGCAGGUUGGAGAUGAUUGGUAAGUAGGUUCUAGGUAGGUUUCAAGAACUUUGAUGAACAGCUAAGGAAUAUGGACUUUACACAGAAGACGAGAAGUAAUUCUUAGAGGUCCUUAAAGAAGGGAGAGACAUAAGUAUUUAUGUUUCAAAAAUAAAAAUAUGAAUUUUGGCAGCAAGAUGGAGGCUGAACUAGAUUAAGGAGAGAACGUGGCCAGGAAGGUCAAUUACGAACCACUGCAACAGUCUAUAAGGAAGGGAUUAAGGUCUCUACGGCAACAGUGGAAUGAAAAGUAGUGAAUAGCCGGGUGAGGGGCACACAGCCAUAAUCCCAGCUACUUCGGAGGCCAAGGCAGGAGGAUUGCAAGUUUGAACCAGCCAGGACAGCAUAUCAAGACCCUGUCUCCAAAUUUUCGGGACAGGGAUUGAACUCAGGGCACUUAACCACUGAGCCACAUCCCCAGUCUUAUUUUGUAUUUUAUUUAGAGAAAGGGUCUCACUGAGUUGCUUAGCGCCUUGCUUUUGCUGAGGCUAGCUUUGAACUCAUGAUCCUCCUGCCCCAGCUUCCCAAGCUGCUAGGAUUACAGGUGUGUGCCACAGCUCCUGGCUUCAAAAAAAAAAAUUUUAUAAAGGGGUGGAGGAUGGAGAAAGAACUAGCGAUAUAGCUAAGUGGGAAAACAGCCCAGGGUUCAAUACCAUGUACCGAAAAAAGAAAAGAAAAAUGUAGUGUUAAAAUCAGGGGGGAUUUAGAAACAGCAUCAAAUACACCAUGAUUGAUUAGGUGUAAGUCUGGCAGUACAGGAGACAGGCCAAGGUUAAAGUUUAGUUACAUUCAACACAGGGAGACCAGGUGUGGAGGGGAUGAUUAGUAGCAUUUUAAGUUUGAAGCAAUUGCAGGGUGUCCAGUAUGAAUGAAUGACAGGUCUGCAGAUGAGGAGAGAGGUUGGACUGAAUGCACAGAUUCAGAUAAGCCUUCAUAAUGGAUAGGAUGUCCUGGGGAAGACAAACCACGAGCCCAGAAUGAAAGCAUGCAGGCAGCUGUCAGGAGAGAAGAAACAGAGGUUGGGGUAGGACUAGAAACGAACCUGCAGAGAGGUGGCACAGGAGUGGGACAGAGUAAGGUCUGUCAAUAGAGGGAGAAGCCACCUUCUGAGAGGUAAUGAUGGGCCAGGAUGAAAGGACAAGGAGGUGCUGUAAUUUAGAAGAUGAGACAAACAGUGUCUAGAGAGUUAGAAGCUGGUCUGCAAGGGACCUAGCUAAGCCUCUUUUUUGCAGUGUGGCUGGGAGCAGUCCAGGUAGUGGUGGAAGAAGGUGGAGCAGGGCCAGGUGUAGGGAUGGGAGUUUUAAGUACAGCAGGUGGCCGGUCAUCCAGCUUCUGUCCACAAGACAACCUCUGAGUGUUUGCACAGCCAAGCAUUCUAUUUGGUUCAGCCUAUAUUCAUUGAGCACCUGCUGUGUCCAAAGUAGCAGACCAGCAUUGCAACGCUCAAAAAGACAUCCCAGGUGCAGUCAUGUUUUGGCUUUUCAUUUAUCAGCCUAAACUUGCCUUCUUCUGACCACAGCUCUCUGUCCUCUGGAGCUGUACCUGAUGCAACAAGAGUUUCUUCCAUACAGCAGUCCUUCUGCUAACUGAAGAUUCCUCUCCCCUGCCCCCUUGGGGAUUUCCCACUUGUUUCAGUUUUACAAAAUAAUCUGGUCUUUACACACGUGUAUGUUUGUUGGUAGGUAGGUAUUUUAUUAUCAGCUGGCUAUUUCCCUCCAAGUAUCCAUAGCUAAUCUCUUUUAAAGUGUUGCACUCACCUAGGCAUGGUGAUAAACACCUGUAAUCCCAGUGACUUGGGAGGCUGAGGCAGGAGGAUCUCAAGUUCAAAGCCAACCUCAGCAUUUAGCAAGGCCCCAAACAACUUAGUGAUAUCCUGUCUCUAAAUAAAAUAUAGAAAAGGGCUGAGAGUGUGACUCAGUGGUUAAGCACCCCUGGGUUCAAUCUCUGGUACAAAAAAAAAAUGUUGAAUUCAAAGUUAAUUGCAAUUGUCUUCAUCUAGUAAAGCAGUGUACAAACCAGUAGGAGCAUCCUUUCCCUUGUUCAGGACAUGGUCCCUGUGGUCCCACCACCUGAGAUUGUAGAUUGUAUAUGCGUCCUGAGGCCAUACUGCUGCCUCCAGGUGCUUCACAAUCAAUAUCCUGACAUCUUUUGGACUGGAAAGUUUUACAAACUAGGUCUCACCAAAUCUUACACUUUUAAAAGUCAAUUGCAGGAUUUAACAUUUUUCCCUCACUAAAUAUUAUGUUUUUACAUUGAUUUUUAUUGCCAAGUAGUAAAAACAACAAGGGUUAACCAGGUGUGGUGGCACACGCCUGUAAUCCUAGCAGCUCAGGAGGCUGAGGCAGUAGAAUCAUGAGUUCAAAGCCAGCCUCAGCAACAGCAAGGUGCUAAGCAACUCAGUGAGACCCUGUCUCUAAGUAAAUACAAAAUAGGGCUGGGGAUGUGCCCCUGAGUUCAAUAACUGGUACCCCCCUGCACCCUUCCACCUCCACCCCACCCCCUGCAAAAAAAGAGCAAAGGCUUAGGAGUCAGGCAUUCUACAUUCAAAUUUUGCUUUUGUUAGGUAGCCUACUGACUUUGAAUGUGUCAUGUGAUCUCUCUGAGUCUCAGUGAGCUUAACACUGAGAAGAGAGCUAAUCCUGUCCACAUUGCAAAGUGGUUCUGAGGCUGAAACAAGCAGGGUAGAAUAUCUACUGAGUGCUCAGUAUAUUUUGGUUUUCUUGCUUUCCUUGGAUUCUCUCAGCUUUGUGUUCUUAGUAGAUGUAUGCCUUUCGAGUUGCUACUCAAGAUUAAAAAAACUUUCUUUUAAUAAAAAGAAAAGCCAGGCACAGUAGCACAUGCCUAUAAUCCCAGUGACCCUGGAGACUGAGGCAGGAGGAUAGUAAGUUCAAAGCCAGCCUCAGCAACUUAGCUAGAUCCUAAGCAACUUAGCAAGACCCUGUCUUAAAAAUAAAAAAUAAAAAGGGCUGGGGAUGUGGCUCAGUGGAUAAAUGCCCCUGGGUUCAAUGCUUGUUAAAAUGAAUAAAUUAAUAAAAUAAAAUAAAAAUAAAAUGUUGACUAUAAUAGGAGCCAAGGACCAAAAGAAAAUACUUUGGCAUGACGGUUAAGCAAAUGGGUUCUGCACCCAGAUUUUCUGUUAUUGGAUCCCAGCUGCUCUACUUACUAGCUAUGUACUCACAAAUGAAUUUAUAAACCACUCUGAGCCUUGGUCUACUCAUCUGUAAAAUGAGGAUAUCAGUACUUCUCAGAUGUUAGGGAAGAUUAACAAAGGUAAUGAUGGAAAGCACUUCUGCCCAGAACCUUGAAUCCAAUAAGUAUCAGUGAGUGGUAUUAUUAUUAUUAUUACCACUUAGAAACCUCCAGGUAAACUAAGUCCUAUGAAUCCACUUUUGUAUAUAAUCAUUUCAUCUACUAAAUAUAUUGUAUAAUAUUGUCCCAUUAUAUUGUCUACCAGGAUCCCUAGAAAAUCUCUACAAUGUCAGGUACUACAAAUAUGCCUCUACUCUUUGGACAUAGGAACCUUAUCUACAAAACAAAACAAAACCAAAAAACCAAACAAACCAGGUUUAAGAUUUUGGGCAAAUCACUUAACAUCUCUGACCUGUGGCUUCUGCAUAAUGGGAAUAAUAAUGAUGCCUAUUCUGGAGGUCUGGAAUGGAGACCUCAUGACUUGAAUAUGGAGAUAAGGAAAUGAGGGUAAUUUGCAGGUAUUUAACUUAAGUGAACCCGCGCUGGCGCUUACUUAUACGGGUUUUCUUUUCCCAAGCAACCUAAACUUAUCAGUGAAUAGGUUCUAGAAUUCACUUUUCCCCUUUUAAAAACUGGCAUAAUUGCCUAACCUCAGGCAUAUGGUACUUCUUUCUUCAGUGAUUCUUCACAAUGUGUCUAUGAUCAUAUCUGGAAGUAUUUUUUGUAUCCCUAGAUGUAGUUUAUAUGGAUCUGAAGAUUUGAAUUCAUUUAAAUUUGAAUCUUAUCUAAAUUUAAAUUUUAUUUAAAUUUACAUUGCCAUCAUUCACCUUGGGAUCCCAUUUCAUCUUAAAUUUUUCUUCUCUCUCUCUCUCUCUUUCUUUCCUCCUUAUCAUUUUUCUUUUUGCAGUACUGGGGAUUAGGCAAGUGCUGUACCACUGAGUUAUACCCCCAGUCCCUUAAACUUUUUCUUUAUCCUGACCGGAAGAAUAUGUAUGUCUGCUGAGAUAGAUUUAGAAUAUACAUAAGUCAUGAAGAAGAAAAUAAAAUCCAUUUGAGUUCACUACCAAGAUAUAACCACUGUUGCUGGGUGCAGUGGCAAACACCUGUAAUCUCAGUGGCUGGGGAGGCUGAGGCAGGAGGAUCACAAGUUCAAAGCCAGCCUCAGCAAAAAUGAGGUGCUAAGCAACUUAGUGAGACCCUGUCUCUAAAUAAAAUACAAAAUAGGGGUGGGGAUAUGGCUCACUGGUCAAGUGCCCCUGAGUUCAAUCUCCAGUAGCCCCUCCCACCAAACCCAAAAAAGAUAUAACCACUGUUAAUAUUUUACUAGUCUUUUUUUCCUGAGAAAAUAUAUUUAAAAUAAAUGACCAACAUUUUCUGAUGCCAUGACAUCUUCCCAAACCCACUUUUUGUUGUAUACAUACAUUCCAUCAUAGGAAUAUACCAAUAUAUGCAAUAAUUCUUUUUGACACUUAGAUGUCCAAAUGCUCAAUGUUAUAAAGAAUGCUGUACUAGCCAGGCUAAUCCCAGGAAUUUGAAAGGCCAAAGCAGGAAGAUUGUCAGUUCAAGGUCAGCCUCAGCAAUUUAGUGAGAUUCUGUCUCAAAAAUUUAAGAGUAAAUAAAUAAAAUAAAAAGGUCUGAGGAUGUAGUUCAGUGGUAGAGUGCCCAGUUCUGCAAAAAUAAUAUAAUAUAAUAUAAUAUAAUAUAAUAUAAUAUAAUAUAAUAAAUAUUAAAAGACUGGUAUGCAGCUCAGAAGAGAGCCCUUGCAUUGUAGGUGUGAGACUCUGGAUUCCAUCCUCAGUACCACCAAAAAAAAAAUGACACUAAAUGUUCUUCUACAUUAAAUUUUGUGAGCAUUUCCAAUCAUUUUCUUUGAAUAACGACUUAAAAAUGAAAUUACUGUGUUAAAUGGUUUGUAUAUUUUAAUUUUUUUAAAAGUAUGUUCUUAUUUCCCUGUUUAAAUUUUUUUUUAAUUGUCAAUGGAUCUUUUAUUUUAUUUAUUUAUUUAUAUCUGGUGCUGAGGCUUGAACUCAGGGGCCUCACAAAUGCCAGGCAAGCAGCAAGCACUCUACCACCAAGCCACAACUCCAGCCCUAUUUUAAGGUUUUUUAACAUUCAAUGACAAAUUGCUCUGCGGAAUGCUUAUAUCAGUUCAGGCUUCCAAUAUAAUAGGAGUGCAAUUAUUUCCCUGAAUCUUUAUUUAUGCAAGAAAGCAUCUUAUAAAUGUUUUUGACCAUUUGCAAGGCUCAAAGGCAUCUGGCUGGUUUUUUGUUUGUUUGUUUGUUUGGGGCAGUGCUGGAGAACCCAGGGCCUCACACAUGCUAAUCACAUGCUCUACCUCUGAGUCUCACCCCCAGUCCAGGCUUUUACUUUAAUUUGCAUUUUCUUUAAUUACCUGUGAGACUGAAUCUUUUUUUUUUUUUUAAUUUUUUAUUGUUGGUUGUUCAAAACAUUACAAAUUUCUUGAGAGACUGAAUCUUUUUAAUCUUCGAUGACUAUUUGAAUUCCUUUUUUCUUUUUGUCCUUUCAUGUUCUUAUUUAUUCUUUUUUUUUGGGGGGGUGGGGGGCUCUGGAAAUUGAACACACAGGGAAUCUACUGUGGAGCUACAUGCAGGUUCCUUUUUAUUUUUUUAAUUUUGAGGCGGCAACUCACAAAAUUGCCCAAGUUGACCUCCAAAUUGAAAUCUAAAUCCUCUUGCCUCAGCCUCCCAGUUGCUAGGAUUGUAGGUGUGGCCCACCACCAGGCCUGGCCUCUUUACUCAUUCUUUUGAGAUGUUGUGUUUUUCUUAUAAUUGUGUAAGAUUCCUUUCUAUGUUAAGGACACUACCCUUUGUUAUAGUUCUAUCUAAAGUCCUAGACAUGUCAUUUGCCUUUUAAUUUUGUUUGUGAUGCUGUUUUAUCUCCAUAAAUUUAAAAGUUCUAAGUAAUCAGACAUAUCAACAUUUUUCUUUUAGAAAUCAUCAAGCUUUAUGUUUUUGUUCUCGAAGGCCUUUUACCACCUGCGGAUCAAGCAAUGCCUGUGGCAUUUUCCUCUUUUCAACGAAUGUCACUUUUCUUAUGUGGGUCAUUUUCCACAAUGAACCCCUUAAUUCAUCUGAAACGUAUUCCAUUCCUUCUUAACUGUUGUUUGUUCCAUCCUAUUGAACCAGAGAGGAUGGUUCCGUUUCAAGAAAUAGAAACCUUAACCAACAAAAUAGAAUUUUCUGGGUCCUGGAAGUGAAAAGUUCAAAGACUUCAGGUCUGUUUGGUCAGGUACCUCACACAAUGUGGACAGGACCUGACAGUUCUCACUUAAUUUCUUUGCUUUAGCCACUGGUGACAGCUCCAAUCUCAACAGACUCUCCUCUUGUGGUCCCUUGAUGGUGCCAAGAAUUUUCAGGGUUACUUGUUUGUGCAUUAACUUCCGGAAGGAAGCAUCUUUGGUCUAGCAUUCCCAGCAAAACUCCUGACAUUCUCUUUGAUGAAAUUGACUUAGGUCUCAUGCCCAUACUUGAGUAAGUCAUUAAGUCUGAAAGGAUGUUAUUCACUGCUUGGCUUAACCUGGCCACGUGCCCUGUCCCCUGGAGAUGAAGGUAGUGCUGGAGAACCCAGCUUUCCCAGAACUUUUCGGGGAAGGAGCAGUUGGAAAGGUGGAAAGCAAGUAAGAUGGCAACUAACGUUCUAUUUUAAAGGAUCAAUAUCAUUGUUUUUUCAUGGAAAAUGACAGAUGCCCUGUCAUUCAAAAGCUGGUUUGUCUUACCUCUAUUCAUACUCAUAGACACUAGAGCUCAGAUCAUGAAAAGAUAUGGACCCUUCCCUUUAUGUUCAAGAUAUAUAUGGACCACCUGGACACAUUGCAGUUUCUAGAGGUCUGAUCAGAUGUGGUUGGAACAAUUUCCUCCAUGGUUAACUGAUCUAUAGGUUCUCUGAAUUCCUUCUUUAACAUGGACUUCAAAGAUGUGAUGCAAAUAGACAACAGCCUCAACUCUCCCCUGAAUUUAUUCUGGCCAAGUCUCUGUCUUCUGGUUACCUGGUUCUUUAGUUAUUUGGACCAUUCCUUGUCCUAUUUAUUUGCCCAAGUUUCAAUCACUUUGCAAUAUCUUCCCCUGUUUUGUGUUCCCCGACCUCUAAAUACCUACUCAGAGGAGGCUUCCCUUGGGUCAGUAGAAGCUGAGGGAGUUGGACACCAGGACAUCAGGGUUUAAAGUCAAUCACCUAAUUGGUUCAGAAGAGGCAGGACAUAGUGGUACCAUGUGCCAGGCACAGUUCAAAACAUCCGGCCCAGGGGAAGCCAUUGUCCAUCUAACCCCAUCUUGAAUAUCUCUAUAAUUGUUUAUCCUUUUCUGUAUCUUAACUCCCUUGGCCUUUUCAACAUACAUUCCCUGUCUCCAUCCAGACCCCCUGUGACAAGUUCAGUGACUUGGCUUCUAAGGGAUGGCAGUGGUGUCCUUGUCUUUAAAAGGUUUUGAAUCCCAUUGGCCUUUCUGGGUCCUCGUAUUUGCCACUCUUAUUCUUCACUAGUGCUCAUCCAAUCCUGUAUCCUUCGUGGAAUAACACACUUCUGAAUGUGGCAUCCAAACUUCUUUCUGAUGCUUUCCUAUCUUUCAGUGACCACUAACAGCACUACCACUUUCAGGACACAAAGUGGACCCCUUAUCUGUUGAGCGCAAUUAAUACUGUUAGAGCUAAAAUAAUAAAAUUCCAAAUUUCCUGUAUUCUAAAAUCAACUUAUGGUAGGAUGUACCACGCUUUAAUGACUGCCUCAAGACCUUCCAAAACACAUUACCACAUUACAGGUGCCUAUUGAAGAUACAUUCUGAUUUUUAGAAAUAUUAAAAAUGUGGGAAUAAAGAACCUGUACCUUGGGCUGGGAUUGUGGCUCAGCGGUAGAGUGCUCACCUAGUAUGGGCGGGACCCGGGUUCAAUCCUUAGCACCACAUAAAAAUAAAAUGCAUUGUGUUGUGUCCAUCUACACCAAAAAAUAAAUAUUAAAAAAAAAGAAUCUGUACCUUAGGAUCUAGGGAAGGCUACAGUUGAACUGUUCUGUUUGUUUAAUUAACUAUUCACAUCAGUCAGUCUGCCCCAUUCAAUAGCCCUACCCCUCAUUCUUUAUUAUAAAUGUAAGCAAAAAUAAACAUGGAGACCAAUCUUUGUCUUCAGUACUAUUCCCAGACUCCAGCUGCCUCUGGACAUGAACCCCUCAAGCAUUAUUCUCAUGGGCCCUUCUUACAAAGUAGUUCCCCCUUAUCUGAGGUUUUGCUUUCUGCAGUUUCAGUUACCUUUAGUGAACCAUAGUCUGAAAAUAUUACAUGGAAAAUUCCAGAAAUAAACAAUUCACUAGUUUUAAAUCACUUUUCUUACAAUAUAUUGUCAUAAUUUUUCUAGUUUAGUUAUUGUUGUAAUUUCCUACUGUGUCUUAAAUUGUAAAUUAAACAUUAUCAUAGGUAUGUUGUGUAUAGGAAAAAAACAUAGUUUAUAUGGAUUUGAUAUUCUUUGUGGUUUUGGGCAUCCACUGAGGGCCUUGAACAUAACCUUCCUGCAGAUAAGGGCAGGACUACUGUACAUCCUUCCUCCAGUCUUUCCUGCGUGACCUUUAUAAAUAUGAGCUAAUGCUGAGCAUGGUGGUGCAUGCCUGUAAUCCUAGCAAAUUAGAGGCUGAGGCCGGAGAAUCACAAGUUCCAGGCCAGCCUCAGCAAUUUAGGAAGACCCUGUCUCAAAACAAAAAGGGCUGGAGAUAUAGCUCAGCCCAGUACCACAAACAAAACAAAAUACUCCCACCCCCCAAACCCACAGGUUUAUCAGAUCACUUCUUCAGCAAGCAUUCUAAUGUUUUCUUUUCUUCCUUGAAAUCACUGAUUUUACAAAAACAUAUAUUGCAAGUCAUCCUUCUUGAGCUUUAUUCCCUAUUUCCUGCCCAGACAGGCUCAUGUACAUAUGAUGUCUUCGUCUUCACAUGAGGUUAGUGAAUGCAGUUGCCUUCUCUGGCUAUUACAAUUUCAAGGGUGCUGUGGUCACUUACUUCAAGUUGACUGUCACUUCUACUUUGCUAACACAUUCUUCUUAGCUGGUUAUAAUCAGGCAUAGAAUAAUAUUUCUUCAAUAAGCAAUUAGUUUAAAUUUAAAUAGUGCCAACUUUAUUUGAUGCUCGCUUUUCCACAGAACAAUAUUGUCAGUUGAUGAUGUCAGAUCAAUUGAACUUCUCCACUACACUCCUAUGCCAAUAAUUUUGUCAUCUUUACUUGGAAAGCAUUAUUGAAUGCUGCCAUAACGGGAUCACAAGGCAUGCUAGAACUAGUUGACAGCACAUGGCCAGUGGAGAAAGGGUGUGAGUCAAGACCAGGGUAGGGGUAUUCCCAGGGCCAGGCUGUGAAUACAGGAGCUGUCCUGGAUUAGGGAAGCUAGGCUGUGCAAGAUCUGGUGUCCCAUACCAAAGUAAAACAUUCAGAAAGCUAUUAAUACCAAGCAGUCCAGACUUACUCCAGCAGCAGGUUAUCCAUGAAGGGUAAGGGACCUGUGUCCCAUGGUCUAAGAUGAUCACAGCAAGAGUGGGUAAUAGAAUAUAGCCCCCUGGAGAAGAGGACUGGUCAGAGUUGAGCUAAACAAGACAUCAAAAUCAUGGUAAAAGUAAGUUAGGGACCAGGACAGGGCCCCACAUCUCAGAACUGAGAUCUAGAUGCAAGGCACAAUGGCCAGAAAGGAGUGUGUCAUAUUGGAGGCCAAAAAUUGGGCAAACACAGCCGGAAAACAUAGUAGGAGGGACCUACAGGUGUCCAAGGCUCACAGCUGACCUGACUGGAAGGAAGCAAGGUGGUAGGGGCUCUUAUCCUUGAUGCACUUUCUUCCAGUUAGAACUGGCCUCUCAGUGUUGGCAGGCUGGGGAGUCAGACCUGUAGGUGGAGCUUCUUAAAACAAUCCAGCUGCUGGUUGCUAGGGAAGUCAACUGGCCUGGUGCCUCAUUACAUAUUCCUGGGACAAUGUUACUUCUGCUUUUAUUUUCACCCAAAUGUUCUCUACCAGGUGUCAAACCUCAGGUUUGUGGGUUUCCAUAUGUAUCCAUGACUUCAUUACUGAAAAGGUCACGCUCCCCCGACCUCCUACUGUGUUUUCUGGGUGAACAAGUGAUAUAUCCUCAUAUUGCUGUAAUACAACAAUGGCUAGGAGUUAUUGACUGCUGAUCACAUCCCAGGUACCAUGCUAGCUAAUUUACAUGUUACCUUAUUUAAUUCCCACAACCUCCUUUAGAGUAGUUAUUGUUACCUCUAUUUUUAAAAAGAGGAAACUGAAGCUUAUAUGGUUUAUAUAAUCAACCCAAGUUCACACAGCUGAGAUGCAGAAGAGCUCAGAUUUAAACUUAGCCUUUUCUGACUGCCUAUCCACUGCUUCAAAUGUCUACAUUUAUACAGUGACAUGCCCAAACCAUUUUCACUAAACUUAUAAGUCACUAGGUUUUUUUUGUCUACCUACCUACCUACCUACCUCUUAGGGAUCUAACCUCUUUGACUCCAUAUUACCAUGGAUUGCCCUAUGCAAGAAGUAGAUCAUUAAUACAUACUUACUGAAUGAAUGAAUAUAGUUCGAAAUGUGAUUAACUGCACCACUCAGUUCUCUCUUGAUUUGGGUAUUUAUAAAGCCAACUAGUAAGAAUUCUUCAUUUUGCUCUAUAUGAAAUCAUCUUAAGAAUGGGAACACAUUCUGAGAAAUGUGUCCUUAGGUAAUUUUGUCAUUUUGCAAACUUCUAGAGUGUACUUAUACAAACCUACAUGAUAUAGCCUACUAUCCACCUAGGUUAUAUGGUGUAUGUGUGUGUGUAUGUAGAUAUGCAAGUGUACACAUGCAUACGCACAACACAUAUGUAAGAUAGCCUAUUGCUUCUAAGCCAUGAUAGAAGAAAAAAAGACUAAAUCAAAUAUGAGAAAAAGACGUAUGAAACCGAUGCUGGUGUAACAGCAGACUCUUUUACUGUAAUUUUUUAAAAAUAAGAAAUAUACUCAAAAAUAGUAGUAUAGUAUAAUAGAUACAUAAACUGGUAAUGUAGUUGUUUAUCAUUACCAAGUAUUGAUACUCUACAAAAUUGCACGUGCUGUACUUGUAUCCAACUGGCAGGACAAGGGUUUGUUUACACUAAUGUCCAUGAGUCAUAUGUUGUACUACGGUGUUCUGAUGGCUGCAACGUCACCAGGCAACAGGAACUUUUCAGCUCUAUUAUUAUAAUCUGAUAGGACCACCAUUGUGUAUGCAGUCUGUUGUUGACCAAAAUGCCGUUUUGUGGUGCAAGGCUGUACUACAACCAUGAACAUGUCCACUGCCAGGAAGAGAAAGCAAAGCAUUCAAUGAAUAGAACUGAAGAGACACACUUUAUUACCAAAUUAAGUCAGAUGUAGGCAAAUGUGUUUAUAUGUUCAAGUAAAUUUGAGAGUUUAAAAUAAAGAUAGAUAUAUACAUAUAUACACACACAACACAUUAUUUUCUUUAUAAGUCCAAAUCUGAAUAUUGUUCUCAUCAUAUCAUCUUCAUGUGUGUCUAAACCAGAGGUUGCUAAUAUACUGCCCACAGUCCAAAUCCAGCUCAUGCCUUGUUUUAUGUGGCCUGUGAGCUAAGGAUUGUUUUCACAUUUUUAAAACAGUUGGGGGUAAAAAAAUCAAGAAAAGAACUAUACUUCAUAUCAUGGGGAAAUUAUGUGAAAUAAACACUACAGUGUACAUGAAUAAAGUUUUAUUGAAACAA